rnacentral:rRNA from 1 species
UACGGAGGGUGCGAGCGUUAAUCGGAAUUACUGGGCGUAAAGCGCGCGUAGGUGGCUGGAUAAGUCGAUUGUGAAAGCCCCGGGCUUAACCUGGGAAUUGCGGUCGAUACUGUCCGGCUAGAGUAUGGUAGAGGGAAGUGGAAUUCCGGGUGUAGCGGUGAAAUGCGUAGAUAUCCGGAGGAACACCAGUGGCGAAGGCGGCUUCCUGGACUAAUACUGACACUGAGGUGCGAAAGCGUGGGGAGCAAACAGG